rnacentral:rRNA from 1 species
GUUGACCUCGGAUCAGGUAGGAAUACCCGCUGAACUUAAGCAUAUCAAUAAGCGGAGGAAAAGAAACCAACAGGGAUUCCCCUAGUAACGGCGAGUGAAGCGGGAACAGCUCAAAUUUGAAAUCUGGCCCUUGGGUCCGAGUUGUAAUUUGUAGAGGAUGCUUUUGGUGCGGUGCCUUCCGAGUUCCCUGGAACGGGACGCCUUAGAGGGUGAGAGCCCCGUACGGUCGGACACCUAGCCUCUGUAAAGCUCCUUCGACGAGUCGAGUAGUUUGGGAAUGCUGCUCAAAAUGGGAGGUACAUUUCUUCUAAAGCUAAAUAUUGGCCAGAGACCGAUAGCGCACAAGUAGAGUGAUCGAAAGAUGAAAAGCACUUUGAAAAGAGGGUUAAAUAGCACGUGAAAUUGUUGAAAGGGAAGGACUUAUGAGCAGACUUUUUCCAGGCGGAUCAUCCGGUGUUCUCACCGGUGCACUUCGCCUGGUCGAGGCCAGCAUCAGUUUUCGGAGGGGGAUAAAAGCCUCGGGAAUGUGGCUCCCUCGGGAGUGUUAUAGCCCGUUGCAUAAUACCCUUCUGGGGACUGAGGUACGCGCUUCUGCAAGGAUGCUGGCGUAAUGCUCAUCAGUCACCCGUCUUGAAACACGGACCAAGGAGUCGAACAUUUAUGCCAGUGUUUGGGUGUUAAACCCUCACGCGUAAUUAAAGUGAACGGAGGUGAGAGCCCUUACGGGUGCAUCAUCGACCGAUCCUGAUGUCUUCGGAUGGAUUUGAGUAAGAGCAUAACUGUUCGGACCCGAAAGAUGGUGAACUAUGCGUGGAUAGGGUGAAGCCAGAGGAAACUCUGGUGGAGGCUCGCAGCGGUUCUGACGUGCAAAUCGAUCGUCGAAUCUGCGCAUGGGGGCGAAAGACUAAUCGAACCAUCUAGUAGCUGG